rnacentral:sRNA from 1 species
GAUACCAGGGUGAAAAGGCCGCAUCCACAGGAGCUUGCUCAUCAGUGGAUGCAAGGACUUGGAACCCGCCCCCCUAUAUGAGCAUAAAAGUGGGAUGUGAAUCCCACGAUAUGCGAAUAGGGGCGAUGAUUGUGGGAGUGCGCAGCACGAAGCAAUCAUCAG